rfam:Rachicladosporium antarcticum strain CCFEE 5527 scaffold_10, whole genome shotgun sequence.
AAGCUGUGAUGGCUCAAUGGGCGGAAUUUCCUCUCGCCUCCACCUUCCCUUCACAAUCCCAAGGGCGUGUGUCCAGUUCGAACUUUGUGGUGGCCGUCCACUCGCUUCGGUAACGAGCGAUUGCUGCGCACGGCCUUAAGCUGCUGCAACAAACUUCAGCCGAGCAAUCGGGCAGAGAGUUGCAGGCCAUGGAGUGGCGGUGUUGGGUUACACACGUCUUUGGCGGGAACGGAUGGGGGCGGUUGAUGGGGUGUGUGACGCUUUUU